rnacentral:lncRNA from 1 species
CUAAGCCCAGCCUGGGGGUUGUUCUGUCAGUAUGUCCUCCUAGACCUUUCUCUAGCCCCCUCUCCCCCAAGCUCAGGACAUUAGUGGCACUCUACAUUCCCACACAUGUCUAGGCCUCGAGUGUCUUGUUCCACAGCUAGGACUGUUUCCCUCACCUGCCACUGUUCCUGCAAGCCUUGUUUCCUGACUAGUGCUACCUCAUCUUGGUAUUAUUUCUCAUGGGAGUGGGUCUGGGAGCUCAUGGCCAGCGAGCUCGACCCCUAAACCCAGCCUUCUUACAGUCAAAUCUCGGUGCUCAGCGGGGGCAAGGCCAAGUGCUCGCAGUUCUGCACCACAGGCAUGGACGGUGGCAUGAGCAUCUGGGAUGUGAAGAGCUUGGAGUCAGCCUUGAAGGACCUGAAGAUCAGAUGAGCUGUGAGGAGUGCUGUCCUCAUCCCACAUGCUGGGGAGGAGGGAAAGGGGUUGGGGAGGCUAAGGGCUGCUUUGCUGAAUGCUUCUAGGGUGUAGUACAGGUCUGCAAAGGGGAUGCUCUCUCUCCAAAGAGGGGAAGAGGAAGGUGGGGAACUUUCCUAUUUAAUGAAAAUGUGCCUUUUAAAGAGAUGCUUUCAUUCAUUGCAAACCAAAAACAAGACAAAAAACCCAAAGCACAAUGCUGGUCAUAAACUGCUUCAAAAUGUGGGCUAAUAAACAUACCAAAUGUGGACAGGCCUGCCUUGUCUGAUGUCAGGUGGCAGAUGGACGGGGGUCUGUCCCGCGGGGGCUUCAGCUGUCAGGACCAGCCUUGAAUUUGAGAUGCUUCUGUUUCAGGUCACUUGUUAAGUGGUGCGACUCUGAUACAAAUGGGUACGCAUUGCUCUGGACCUUAGUGCUUACCUCUCAUUUCUACACUAUGAUGCAGGAAACUGGUUUCUGGCAAAUGCUCAUUGGUGUUUGUACAAUCCCGUAUUUCUAUUUUGGUCUGAUGCCUUUUGUCUUUGGGUUAGUCUUUAUACAGCACCACAACUGACAUUUUACAAUUACAGCAAAGAUCUCCUAUGGUGACAACCAUCCUUCUGUAGGACAGAAAUCACCCAACCAGAAGCAUCAAGCCAUACAAGCUCCCACUAUUAAUUCAGCCUAGGCCUCACCAGCACUAUACCAAAGGUCAUCACAUCUAUGGCCUCCUCCAAGUGGGCAAAGGCUUCAACAAGCCACGCACAAAUGCACACCCCUCUGCCUCCAACCCAAGCAGUACACUUUAGUCGGUGUUAGGAACCUCAAUCAGGAACCCUGUCAAGGCACCCCCCACCACUUACAUCUCACAAACAACCUUUUUACUAUGCCCUAGGGCUAGCAACAAGGUAUUGCUAGAAACCUAUUACCUUCCUCAUUCUGGAGCCAACCUUAAAUCUGGGUAGCUUGCAGGAUCCCUCCAGAGGCUAGGCUAUCAGUUAGGGUCAGGCCCAAAGGCCUGUGGUAGCAGUCACUAGAAAAUGAACUUAAAUGUCACCUCUGCCUCUAAGUCAUGCUUGAGUCUUUGCCAGCCAUACCUGUAUUUGACCCUGACAUAUCCAGACUCUUAAGUCCCACGACCUCUUAGGAAGCACAAAGGAGAAUGUCACUCAGGUUCAGUAUCCCACUCAGAUGGGGCCAGGACAGGAGCCUUUCAGGUGACUCGCCGGCUAACACCAGGCCUGCUUUCUCACUGCCACAGUGAAAAGGACUGAGGCGGUAGCUCAGGCUGUAUCGGGCUGGGAGCCUUCCUCCAGCAGAUUACUAGAUGAACGGCAGCUAGUGCCCAGAGGCCCAGAGGGGCAGCUAGACACUGUUACAGUCUGCUGCAGGUUCAGGAUUGGCCCUCAGAAGCAUCCUAGGUCUCUAUUUGUCACUGAUGUCUAGGCCCUGUGUCUUUAUGCAAAAACCUGACCGUGCUUCCCCAGGUGUGUGCCCUAAACCCUGCUGGUACGUGCCAUGAGCAAACACAGUGACAGCAGAGAGAAGAACUGCCAAACAAGGAUUUAUGAUAAUGUUGUUUAAUCUGCCAAAUAUACAAGUUGAAUUUGAGGAGC